UACGUAGGGUGCGAGCGUUAAUCGGAAUUACUGAGCGUAAAGCGUGCGCAGGCGGUUGUGCAAGACCGAUGUGAAAUCCCCGGGCUUAACCUGGGAACUGCAUUGGUGACUGCACGGCUAGAGUGUGUCAGAGGGGGGUAGAAUUCCACGUGUAGCAGUGAAAUGCGUAGAUAUGUGGAGGAAUACCGAUGGCGAAGGCAGCCCCCUGGGAUAACACUGACGCUCAUGCACGAAAGCGUGGGGAGCAAACAGG
rnacentral:rRNA from 1 species